UACGGAAGGCAGCAGGGGGAAUAUUGCACAAUGGGCGAAAGCCUGAUGCAGCUAUGCCGCGUGUAUGAAGAAGGCCUUAGGGCUGUAAAGUACUUUCAUCGGGGAGGAAAAAACAAAACUAAUAAUUUUAUUUCUUGACGUUACCCGAAAAAGAAGCACCGGCUAACUCCGUGCCAGCAGCCGCGGUAAUACGGAGGGUGCUAGCGUUAAUCAGAAUUACUGGGCGUAAAGAGCACGUAGGUGGUUUUUUUAAGUCAGAUGUGAAAUCCCUGGGCUUAACCUAGGAACUGCAUUUUGAAACUGAAAUACUAGAGUAUCGUAGAGGGAGGUAGAAUUCUAGGUGUAGCGGUGAAAUGCGUAGAUAUCUGGAGGAAUACCUGUGGCGAAAGCGGCCUCCUAAACGAAUACUGACACUGAGGUGCGAAAGCGUGGGGAGCAAACAGGGAUUAGAUACC
rnacentral:rRNA from 1 species